AUUGAACGCUGGCGGCAGGCCUAACACAUGCAAGUCGAACGAGUGGCGGACGGGUGAGUAAUGUCUGGGAAACUGCCCGAUGGAGGGGGAUAACUACUGGCAACUGUAGCUAAUACCGCAUACCAUCGGAUGUGCCCAGAUGGGAUUAGCUAGUAGGUGGGGUAACGGCUCACCUAGGCGACGAUCCCUAGCUGGUCUUAGAGGAUGACCAGCCACACUGGAACUGAGACACGGUCCAGAAUCCGACGGGAGGCAGCAGUGGGGAAUAGUGCACAAUGGGCGCAAGCCGGAUGCAGCCAUGCCGCGUGUAUGAAGAAGGCCUUCGGGUUGUAAAGUACUUUCAGCGAGGCGGCGGUACUCGCAGAAGAAGCACCGGCGAACUCCGUGCCAGCCGCCGCGGUAAUUC
rnacentral:rRNA from 1 species